rnacentral:rRNA from 1 species
AGAGCGAACGCUGGCGGCAGGCCUAACACAUGCAAGUCGAGCGCCCCGCAAGGGGAGCGGCAGACGGGAGAGUAACACGUGGGAACGUACCCUUUGGUUCGGAACAACCCAGGGAAACUUGGGCUAAUACCGAAUAAGCCCUUACGGGGAAAGAUUUAUCGCCAAAGGAUCGGCCCGCGUCUGAUUAGCUAGUUGGUGAGGUAACGGCUCACCAAGGCGACGAUCAGUAGCUGGUCUGAGAGGAUGAUCAGCCUCACUGGGACUGAGACACGGCCCAGACUCCUACGGGAGGCAGCAGUGGGGAAUAUUGGACAAUGGGCGCAAGCCUGAUCCAGCCAUGCCGCGUGGGUGAUGAAGGCCCUAGGGUUGUAAAGCCCUUUCGGCGGGGAAGAGUAAUGACGGUACCCGCAGAAGAAGCCCCGGCUAACUUCGCGCCAGCAGCCGC